UGGCACACGUCGUGGUCUGAAUAAGUUUGAACUAGACCAAACGAGUCUGAGCAGACUGUGUGAUAGUGGUUUGUCGAUGUGUUCUGAACUGAAAACCUGCUAAGAAACUUUGAACAAACGUGGCCAAAAUUGGAUGAAAAUUACAAUUUUUCGACCAUUACAGAUUUUACCUGGUCUGAAGUUGGAGUGUAUUAUUUGACCAUUUUUGGACAGGUGCGGGAGCUGCCGGCCAUUUGCCCUAGCAGGCGGAGAGAGGUGGUGGAGUGUCAGCCUAUGGUAUCUGAGGUCCAGGAGAGAUGACCUGCGCUGUUUUCCUCUGAGGAGAUAUCUGAACAUUUCAUGGGAUCACAAGCAAAGAACUCCUGGGGACCUUCAAUGCAUCCCUUGACAAAGUUGUGCCUGGCCUGCUGAAACUGUACUGGUCUA